rnacentral:lncRNA from 1 species
AAGACUAAUAUUUAAAAGACAACGUGAAUGACAGACUCAAAACAUAAAAAUAUCUAUAAUCAUCUCCUAAAUGCAAUGGUCCUGGGUUGUCAUGCUUAAACUCUAGGAAAAUUUCUCCGUACCUGAAUGAGAAAAACAAUAUUAAAAAGUGUUAGCAACUCAAGACACAUGUGACGUCACGACACCUUCUAUUGGACAGUUUUCGUGUCCGAAUGAGAAAAAUAAGAUUAAAAAGAGUUAGCAACUCAAGAUACAUGUGACGUCACGACACCUUCUAUUGAACACAUGCAAGACGUGAUGGGCUACUUUUGCAAAAUUCACAUAUGAGGCCAAGGAUGGCUAUUAGUGCAAACUCAACAAAUGUGACCUCAAAGACAUGAUAAUACCACACUAAGGCUUAUGUGGAUUCAAAUACUCAAUAAUCAUGGCCCAAAAUUAAUUUGCAGAAAUAAAUCAUUUUGCAAAAAUAGCCUAUGUGGCCGAAAAUUGCUAAAGAUGCAAACUCAAAAGGUCGGGCCUUAAAGUAAUAUGACACCUAGUUGUAGACUCAACAUUCUAAGACAUGGGAAACUGAACCACUUUUUGCAAAAUUGACCCCAUUUUGCAAGAAUAGCCGAUGUGGCAAAAAGUGGCUAGACAUGCAAGAUUUGGCUAAGACCCCGCAAAGCCAAGAACCUAAGACGCUAGGAAGACCAAAUCCAAUGUGGCUUGCCUACGUAUCUCGCCCUGAAAGACGAGAAUCAGGUUCGCGUAUUUCGGGAAGAUUAAAUAUAGGAUAG